GCCUGGGUGGCUCAGUGGGUGGAGCGUCCAACUUCAGCUCAGGUCAUGAUCUCGCGGUUUGUGGGUUCGAGCCCCGCGUCAGGCU
rnacentral:tRNA from 1 species